rnacentral:rRNA from 1 species
GGGCUUCGGUCAGUCCUCGGGGCCACCUCCCACCCGUGUUGCCCGAACCUAUGUUGCCUCGGCGGGCCCCGCGCCCGCCGACGGCCCCCCUGAACGCUGUCUGAAGUUGCAGUCUGAGACCUAUAACGAAAUUAGUUAAAACUUUCAACAACGGAUCUCUUGGUUCCGGCAUCGAUGAAGAACGCAGCGAAAUGCGAUAACUAAUGUGAAUUGCAGAAUUCAGUGAAUCAUCGAGUCUUUGAACGCACAUUGCGCCCUCUGGUAUUCCGGAGGGCAUGCCUGUCCGAGCGUCAUUGCUGCCCUCAAGCCCGGCUUGUGUGUUGGGCCCCGUCCCCCCCGCCGGGGGGACGGGCCCGAAAGGCAGCGGCGGCACCGCGUCCGGUCCUCGAGCGUAUGGGGCUUCGUCACCCGCUCUAGUAGGCCCGGCCGGCGCCAGCCGACCCCCAACCUUUAAUUAUCUCAGGUUGACCUCGGAUCAGGUAGGGAUACCCGCUGAACUUAAGCAUAUCAAUAAGCGGAGGAAUGGUUGACCUCGGAUCAGGUAGGAAUACCCGCUGAACUUAAGCAUAUCAAUAAGCGGAGGAA